rnacentral:tRNA from 1 species
UGUAAAUAUAGUUUAACCAAGACGUUAGAUUGUGAAUCUAAACAUAGAAACCCAACACUUCUUAUUUACC